UCCCCCCCAAGAAGUCACAGCAUGUCACAUCAGCAUCCAGCUCUGCAGGAUCAGGAAGCAGAUGUUCUUCUAAGGGACACCYUAGAGGCAGCAAGGUGGCGUGAACUCCAAACAUUUAAAGGCACUGUUUCCCUCCCUAGUGUGAUUGGGAUGGACAGGGAAGACCAUAUUACAAUCCUUAAAGAACUACGGUUGUAUGAUGGCCUGGAUGAAGAGGAAAAUAUUCUCAAGGAACCAUUCAUGUUCCAGAGAGAUUGAGAUGUCAACUGCCUCCACAUCGAACAACAAGAACAUUACUGCCUUUGCCUCUUGAGGAGCAAGAGUGAAGCCAUUUUUGAGGAGUGGUCAAACCUUGUUUUUGUCUGCUGUGUUAAUUGUUUCAAUUGUUAGUUGUGUUAAGUUGUUCAGUAAAGAUGACGUUGAAGUCA